rnacentral:rRNA from 1 species
GUCAUACUUCCAAGAAAAGCUUGCACUGUCAUAAGUAAAAAAUGCCUGUACCAUAACCGACACAGGUGGGUAGGUAGAGUAUACUAAGGGGCGCGAGAUAACUCUCUCUAAGGAACUCGGCAAAAUAACUCCGUAACUUCGGGAGAAGGAGUGCCUUAUUCUUAAGGUUGCAAUAACAAGAUCCAAGCAACUGUUUAUCAAAAACACAGGUCUCCGCUAAGUCGUAAGACGAUGUAUGGGGGCUGACGCCUGCCCAGUGCCAGAAGGUUAAAGAAGUUGGUUAGCAAUUGCGAAGCUGGUAACUGAAGCCCUGGUGAACGGCGGCCGUAACAAUAACGGUCCUAAGGUAGCGAAAUUCCUUGUCGGGUAAGUUCCGACCCGCACGAAAGGCGUAAUGAUUUGGAUACUGUCUCGGAGAGGGGCUCGGUGAAAUAGACUUGUCUGUGAAGAUGCGGACUACCUGCACCAGGACAGAAAGACCCUAUGAAGCUUUACUGUAACUUGAAAUUGAAAUUGGACUUUAUUCGCGCAGUCUAGGUGGGAGGCGUUGAUUAUAAUCUUGUGGGAUUAUUGGAGCCAUCAGUGAGAUACCACUCUUGUAAUGUUAGAUUUCUAACUUUGAAUCAUUAUCUGGUCAAAGGACAGUUUCAGGCGGGCAGUUUGACUGGGGCGGUCGCCUCCUAAACGGUAACGGAGGCGUACAAAGGUUUCCUCUGAACGGUUAGAAAUCGUAUCUAGAGUGUAAAGGCAUAAGGAAGCUUGACUGUGAGACCUACAAGUCGAGCAGGGACGAAAGUCGGUCUUAGUGAUCUGACGGUACUGAGUGGAAAGGCCGUCACUCAACGGAUAAAAGUUACUCUAAGGAUAACAGGCUGAUCUCCCCCAAGAGUUCACAUCGACGGGGAGGUUUGGCACCUCGAUGUCGGCUCAUCGCAUCCUGGGGCGGUAGUACGUCCCAAGGGUUGGGCUGUUCGCCCAUGAAAGCGGUACGCGAGCUGGGUUCAGAACGUCGUGAGACAGUUCGGUCCAUAUCCGGUGUAGGCGUUAGAAUAUUGAGAGGAGCCUUCUUUAGUACGAGAGGACCGAGAAGGACAUACCUCUGGUGUACCAGUUAUCGUGCCAACGGUAAACGCUGGGUUGCUAUGUAUGGAGUGGAUAACCGCUGAAAGCAUCUAAGUGGGAAGCCCACCUCAAGAUAAGUAUUCUCAUC